rnacentral:rRNA from 1 species
GUAACAACUCACCUGCCGAAGGUGCUAGCCCUGAAAAUGGAUGGCGCUGAAACGAGUUACCUAUACUCAACCAACAGUGCAAGUGCUUGCAUUGUUGAGUAGGAGGGCGUGAUUGUCGUUGAGCAGCUCGUGGAGUGAUCCAGAGUGAAACGGCCAUUAGUGCAGAUCUUGGUGGUAGUAGCAUUUAUUCAAAUGGGAACUU